UACGUAGGGUGCAAGCGUUAUUCGGAAUUACUGGGCGUAAAGCGUGCGCAGGCGGUUUUUUAAGUUUGUCGUGAAAUCCCCGGGCUUAACCUGGGAAUUGCGAUGAAGACUGCAAGGCUAGAAUCUGGCAGAGGGGGGUAGAAUUCCACGUGUAGCAGUGAAAUGCGUAGAGAUGUGGAGGAACACCGAUGGCGAAGGCAGCCCCCUGGGUCAAGAUUGACGCUCAUGCACGAAAGCGUGGGGAGCAAACAGG
rnacentral:rRNA from 1 species